ACAUUCUUUGCCAAAAAAUUUAAACGACAACAACAACAAAAAUAUUGUGAAGAAAAACAAAAAUAAAAAACCAACGCUAUAACCACAUUUAACUAUGGUUUAACCUUGUCUUAAUUACUGGAUUUUUUUUCUUCAUUUUGUGAAAGAGCUCAACACAAUUAACUUUGAAACGAAGGGCAGCGGACCCGGAUAUUCCGAUAUUUGACCCAAAAGUCCGGUACCAAGGCCUGGUUUACACCCGAACCUACUAAUCAUUAUUAACAAUGUGGUUCCAUAAUGGUGUUAUUGAAAACAGUUC
rnacentral:sRNA from 1 species